CAGUCGCCGCGGUAAUACGAAGGGGGCUAGCGUUGCUCGGAAUUACUGGGCGUAAAGGGAGCGUAGGCGGACAUUUAAGUCAGGGGUGAAAUCCCAGAGCUCAACUCUGGAACUGCCUUUGAUACUGGGUGUCUUGAGUGUGAUAGAGGUAUGUGGAACUCCGAGUGUAGAGGUGAAAUUCGUAGAUAUUCGGAAGAACACCAGUGGCGAAGGCGACAUACUGGAUCAUUACUGACGCUGAGGCUCGAAAGCGUGGGGAGCAAACAGGAUUAGAGACCCCAGUAGUCCCUGUCUCUUAUAC
rnacentral:rRNA from 1 species